GGCGAUUUAAACAGAAAACUUCAACUGCCACUGCGGUUCAAUAGAACAUCACAGCCCUCCGGCAAUGAUGCCUGGCCUCCGGUGAUGAUUCCUGGUCUCUGGUGAGCAAUGAUUCCUGGACUCUGGUGACAACUUCCAGUCUGGCACUGCAGCCUCCCAUAGCGGCCUCCUGGUGUAGUGUGGCGGCCUCCUACAGUGGCGUCCCAGCAUGGCAUGGCAACCUCCUAGCCUGGCACAGCGGCUUCCUUCUGUCAGGGCCUCCUGACAUGGCAUGAUAACUUCCUGGUCUGGCAAGGUGGCCGCCUCCUGUAGCGGCCUUCCGAUGUGGCGUGGCGACCUUCUAGCCUGGCACAACAGCCUUCUCCCAUAGGAGCCUCCCGGUAUGGUGUGCUGACCUCUUGGCCUCGUGCAGUGGCCUCUCACAGCAACCUCUCAGCAUGGCGUUGCGACUGUCCACCCUCCUGCAGUGGACUCCUUCUAUUGGGGCCACCCGGCCUGGUGCAGCAGCUCCCAGUGUGGUGUGUUGUAGGCAUGGUGUGGAGCCAGGGCCCGGUGCAGACUAGGUGUCAGCAUGGUCUGCUGUACUGAACUUUUAUUUCUGCAAUGCUGGGCCAACUAUUUCUGUAUUGCCUAAAAUCUUGUCACUAAAGAAACUUUUGUAUCUAA